CCUACGGGGGGCAGCAGUAGGGAAUAUUGCUCAAUGGGGGAAACCCUGAAGCAGCAACGCCGCGUGGAGGAUGAAGGUUUUCGGAUUGUAAACUCCUUUUGUUAGAGAAGAUAAUGACGGUAUCUAACGAAUAAGCACCGGCUAACUCCGUGCCAGCAGCCGCGGUAAUACGGAGGGUGCAAGCGUUACUCGGAAUCACUGGGCGUAAAGAGCGCGUAGGCGGGAUAGCAAGUCAGAUGUGAAAUCCUAGGGCUUAACCAUAGAACUGCAUUUGAAACUGUUAUUCUAGAGUAUGGGAGAGGUAGGGGGAAUGCUUGGUGUAGGGGUAAAAUCCGUAGAGAUAAAGAGGAAUACUCAUUGCGAAGGCGACCUGCUAGAACAUAACUGACGCUGAUGCGCGAAAGCGUGGGGAGCAAACAGGAUUAGAUACCCCUGUAGUC
rnacentral:rRNA from 1 species